UACGUAGGGGGCGAGCGUUGUCCGGAAUUACUGGGCGUAAAGAGAGCGUAGGCGGCACUACAAGUCUCAUGUGAAAUACUCGGGCUUAACUUGGGGGUUGCAUGGGAAACUGUAGAGCUUGAGUACAGGAGAGGCAAGCGGAAUUCCUAGUGUAGCGGUGAAAUGCAUAGAUAUUAGGAGGAACACCAGUGGCGAAGGCGGCUUGCUGGACUGAAACUGACGCUGAGGCUCGAAAGCGUGGGGAGCAAACAGG
rnacentral:rRNA from 1 species